CAAGCGCGAAAGGAGGUGAUCCGAUGUCUCAUGGUUCAGCAGAGGGGUCGGCAAGUUUCCGCACGGAGCACUAUCGGUAGCAUCUUCUACCUUUAGAGGUUUCGUGGGCGGCACUUCCUGGCCGCUGACCAUGAAAGGGCGGUUCCCCGACGGGCGGGAGCCGCCCU
rnacentral:sRNA from 1 species